rnacentral:rRNA from 1 species
AGUGAACGCUGGCGGUAGGCCUAACACAUGCAAGUCGAACGGCAGCACAGUAAGAGCUUGCUCUUACGGGUGGCGAGUGGCGGACGGGUGAGGCAUACAUCGGAAUCUACUUUUUCGUGGGGGAUAACGUAGGGAAACUUACGCUACUACCGCAUACGACCUACGGGUGAAAGCAGGGGAUCUUCGGACCUUGCGCGAUUGAAUGAGACGAUGUCGGAUUAGCUAGUUGGCGGGGUAAAGGCCCACCAAGGCGACGAUCCGUAGCUGGUCUGAGAGGAUGAUCAGCCACACUGGAACUGAGACACGGUCCAGACUCCUACGGGAGGCAGCAGUGGGGAAUAUUGGACAAUGGGCGCAAGCCUGAUCCAGCCAUACCGCGUGAGUGAAGAAGGCCUUCGGGUUGUAAAGCCCUUUUGUUGGGAAAGAAAAGCAGCAGGUUAAUACCCCGCUGUUCUGACGGUACCCAAAGAAUAAGCACCGGCUAACUUCGUG